ACCCCACUGCUAUCGGGAUAGGACUAAGACAUGCUAGUCGAGUGCUCUUUAGCCAUGAUGAGAGCACGGCAUACAGCUCAGUAACACGUGGCUAACCUGCCCUUGGGAUAGGAACAACCCCGGGAAACUGGGGCUAAUUCCCAAUAGGUGAAGGACUCUGGAAUGAGUCUCCGCCAGAAAAGACGCUUACGCCAUGCUUGUAGGCGUCGCCCAAGGAUGGGGCCGCGACCGAUCAGGUUGUUGGUGAGGUAACGGCCCACCAAGCCUUUUACCGGUACGGGCCGCGGGAGCGGGAGCCCGGAGAUGGGCACUGAGACAAGGGCCCAGGCCCUACGGGGCGCAGCAGUCGCGCAAACUUUGCAAUACACGAAAGUGUGACAGGGCUAUCCCGAGUGCCGCCCGCUGAGGGUGGCUUUUGCCCAGUAUAGCAAGCUGGGAGAAUAAGGAGAGGGCAAGUCUGGUGUCAGCCGCCGCGGUAAUACCAGCUCUCCGAGUGGUGUGGAUGUUUAUUGGGUCUAAAGCAUCCGUAGCUUGCUGAGUGAGUCCCCUGUUAAAUCCAGCGAAUUAAUUGUUGGUGUGCGGGGGAUACUGCUCAGCUAGGGGACGAGAGAGGCAGACGGUAUUUUCGGGGUAGGGGUGAAAUCCUAUAACCCCGAGAAGACCACCAGUGGCGAAGGCUGUCUGCUAGAACGCGCCCGACGGUGAGGGAUGAAAGCUGGGGGAGCGAACCGGAUUAGAUACCCGGGUAGUCCCAGCUGUAAACUAUGCAGGCUAGGUGUUUGGGCGGCCACGUGCCGCUCUAGUGCCGCAGGGAAGCUGUUAAGCCUGCCACCUGGGGAGUACGGUCGCAAGAUUGAAACUUAAAGGAAUUGGCGGGGGAGCACCACAAGGGGUGAAGCUUGCGGUUUAAUUGGAGUCAACGCCGGAAA
rnacentral:rRNA from 1 species